rnacentral:rRNA from 1 species
UCUGAUAUGUUGCAAGGUAUUGAUGAUGCUACUUUUGCUAUGAAUGCUACUCAUGAUGAUGUUAGUACCUUGCUUGAUGAUGAUGUGGCACUAGGCAAAUUUCUUGAUGAACAAAUUGCUAGAGUGAGACAACACGAUAUUGUUGAAACUGCUGAUGAGCUUGAAACUGAAAAUCUUGAAACACCUAUUAGAACUAGCCUUCCUAGAUAUGAAUUGCCAAAAGUACCGGAAGGUUAUGUUAUGAGUGAGGAGGCAACUAGAGAUAUUCUUGCUUGUAAGGAUAGAGAUGAUAUACAAAAAUUAUUAUGCAAGUAUAAAGAAAGAUCUUUGAAUGCUAAAAUGAAAUGUGAUCCUAAGUUUGCUACUUCACCUAUUUGUAUUGAUGAUAAGGAUUAUGAAUUC